GAUAAAUGUCAGGGUUGGGACAAUUUAAGUAAUUAUUUAGAUGUCUGGCUGAUAGAUAUCUUUUACCAUGGUGCUACUAUCUGCUUUUAACUUCUGCUUGAUAACAAAGUGGAAACCCCUACAUUUCAUAUCCCCAACACAAAGUUAUUUUGUAAAGAGAUUGUUGAGAGCCUUCCUCAUGCAAUGCCAUCUUUCUGGAAUGAUGCUCCUACCACACCUAGGUCCUGCCCACCCUUCGGGUUUGGCUUCAAUAGCAUGGAUGCAGAGCGGCCCUACUUUAUAAGAAAUAGGUUUUUCCCCCCCUCUCCCAGCCUCAAUUUUGUCCAUUUUAAGCUGUGUUAUAUUCUUCCUACUUUUUUUUUUUCACAAUUAAGAAAUUUGUUUUUAAUUUUCUUCCUUUCCAAUUGAAUUUCCGGUAACAUGUUUCACUUCUUUAUCCCUAGCACCUAGCUCAGUGCCUGGCAUGUGGUAUCUAGUCACUAAAUAUUUGUUGACGGAGUAAACUGGUGAAUGAAUGGCUUGUCCCAGAGUAUUGAAGAGAAGGGGGCAUGGGAUCCUGGAGAAGAGUAUUUUUAGGAGGCAUUACUGUGAAGCAUAGCAGGUGGCCAGAUGGUAAUGGAAGGAAACAUGGUCCCUUCUAUCGGCUACAAGAAGAACUGAGUGGCAUACAGGUAUGUAAUGAGAUAAACUAUACUUCUAGAGACAUUGUCUUGGAUUCAGAUGGAAGAAGGGGGAACCAUGGAAUCUUGCCAGAGAGCAUAAAGUCUGGGAAAAUAGCAAAAAACCAGACUAUUGCACCCAGUCCUGUUCCUAGGUAGUCCUUUCCUUGCCUUAGCUGUGACACCUGGGAAUUUACUACCAUCCCCCUUUUGAAAGCUUUCCUCCAGAGGAUGUUGAUGAGGUCAUGUCCGGAUAAUAUUCUCCUGCAGUUUGUGUUCCUAACAGUGUUGACUCCUUCUCCUUUUCUGAAUCACAGGCAUUGCUAGAAAAUCUAAUUAUGCCACUGGUUAUGAUAUCUCAGUGGGAAAGGAAAUUCCCUUGGUUCCAGAGUUUCUCUCUGGAGCCCCACUCUUCUCUUGUUUGAUUUGAUUUUACUUUUAUUUCUUGAGAGGGUAUGGUAGAUCUAGUGGUCACUUUUCCGUUUCUUGUCUGUUUGGCAUUCAUUGCUUUCCCCAAAUCUCAGUGGAAUAUUAAUGCGCUACCUUUAUAUCUGUGAGAUUUGGUGGGAAAAUGAUUCCCAGUGCUCACCUCCUAAUCCUAGGGAAGCCAAGGAGGACCAGUUACUUCUUUCCCAGUCUUAGGAAAAGCCAAGAGAGGGCGUAUGUCUAACCCUCGGGCAAGUGGAUGCUUCUUCCCUGGGUUUUAAAAUAUUUAGUCUACGACUGGGGGCAUAGAGAUGGUUGGAGGACCUGUCUUUGAAGACUGAACUGAAUAACUCAUAGGAAAGUCUGUGCUGGGAUUCCUAGACUCUCCCUUGCCGCCACUUUCUACUUUGAUUCAUUUACAAAAAAGGCUGUAACUUAAUACCUUCUUGGUCCAGAUAAGUGCUCUAAAUAUGUGAGGUAGUGGAGUGAAGGAGACAAGAGAAAGGUUAGGCCAGUGGGGAGUGCAGGCUUCUCCCAAACAAAGCAUUGGACAGCCUGGGCUUUUGAGUGCAGCCCAGCAUCUAAGGUAGCUAGUGUUCUUGUACUUGUUUGAAAUGUCCCAGAAAUACCAAUGUUUUAGCAUCCAAGCUAUAUCCCUUAGAAUGCUGCUUGUUCCAUGGUGUAUAUGCGCCACAUUUUCUUUAUCCAGUCUAUCACUGAUGGGCAUUUGGGUUGGUUCCAAGUCUUUGCUAUUGUAAAGAGUGCUGCAGUAAAUAUAUGUGUGCAUGUGUCUUUACAGUAGAAUGAUUUAUAAUCCUUUGGGUAUAUACCCAGUAAUGGGAUGGCUGGGUCAAAUGGUAUUUCUGGUUCUAGAUCCUUGAGGAAUUGCCACACUGCAUUCCACAAUGGUUGAACUAAUUUACACUCCCACCAACAGUAUAAAAGAGUUCCAAGAAAAAAAAAAAAAAAAAAAAAGGAAUGUUCCCUGUUCUCAAAAGAUGCCUCCAAACCCUUUCUCAGACUAUGUAGGCUGAUUCCAGGACCAGAAAAUAAAGCCUCCACAGCAGAAGUAGCAGAGGGCUUCGAGGGGCGUGGCUCUGAGCUGGGAUCAGAGCUGAAAUCUGGCUACUUGGCCUGAGUGCUCCGCUCCCUCUCUGUGAAGGGCACCAAGCUGUGCUUAUCAAAUGGCAUGGCAGUGGGCACCAGGGAUGCCGUUACCUGAGGUGGGGAAAGACAUUGAUUGCUAUAUCAAGAGUUAAAUAAUCCUGGCUUAUAAUAAGGAAGUUUAUGCCUCACCCAUUUAACAGUAUGAGCACAGGCAGCCCAGGGCUGACAUACUGGCUCCAUGGCCCUGGGCAGCUGACUCUAUCCUGUUGCUUUGCCAUCCUCCAAAUGUACAUUCCAUCUAGUGGCUGAGAUGCUGAUUCAGCUCCCACUACCAUGGGGCUCUGUCCAGCAAGCAGGAGGUAAGGGGAGGUGAAAGCAUGCUUCUUCCCUUUUAAGGGCUGACCCAUGGCUUCUGCUCAUAACUCAUUGGCCUCAAUCCAAGCAUUUGGCCAUAGCUAGCUGCAAGGAAGAUUAGGAAAGAUAGUGGUUAGCUGGGUGGCUGUGCAUCCAGAUAAGCAGUCUGUUUAUAGAAGAAAAGAAGAAUAGAUAUCAGGGAG
rnacentral:lncRNA from 1 species